rnacentral:rRNA from 1 species
GCUUAACACAUGCAAGUCGAACGGAAAGGCCCUUUCGGGGGUACUCGAGUGGCGAACGGGUGAGUAACACGUGGGUGAUCUGCCCUGCACUUCGGGAUAAGCUUGGGAAACUGGGUCUAAUACCGGAUAGGACUACGGCCUGCAUGGGUUGUGGUGGAAAGCUUUUGCGGUGUGGGAUGGGCCCGCGGCCUAUCAGCUUGUUGGUGGGGUGAUGGCCUACCAAGGCGACGACGGGUAGCCGGCCUGAGAGGGUGUCCGGCCACACUGGGACUGAGAUACGGCCCAGACUCCUACGGGAGGCAGCAGUGGGGAAUAUUGCACAAUGGGCGCAAGCCUGAUGCAGCGACGCCGCGUGGGGGAUGACGGCCUUCGGGUUGUAAACCUCUUUCACCAUCGGCGAAGCCGGGGGCUUUUGUUUCCGGUGACGGUAGGUGGAGAAGAAGCACCGGCCAACUACGUGCCAGCAGCCGCGGUAAU